rnacentral:rRNA from 1 species
UACGGGGGGAGCAAGCGUUGUUCGGAUUUACUGGGCGUAAAGGGCGCGUAGGCGGCGCAACAAGUCACUUGUGAAAUCUCCGGGCUUAACCCGGAGCGGUCAAGUGAUACUGUCGUGCUAGAGUGCGGAAGGGGCUACUGGAAUUCUCGGUGUAGCGGUGAAAUGCGUAGAUAUUGGGAGGAACACCAGUGGCGAAGGCGGCUCACUGGACCGGUACUGACGCUGAGGCGGCGAAAAGCGUGGGGAGCAAACGGGG